rnacentral:rRNA from 1 species
UACGGAGGGUGCAAGCGUUAAUCGGAAUUACUGGGCGUAAAGCGCGCGUAGGCGGUUUUGUAAGUCGGGUGUGAAAUCCCCAGGCUCAACCUGGGAACUGCAUUCGAGACUGCAUAGCUAGAGUAUGGGAGAGGGAAGUGGAAUUUCAGGUGUAGCGGUGAAAUGCGUAGAUAUCUGAAGGAACAUCAGUGGCGAAAGCGACUUCCUGGACUCAUACUGACACUGAGGUGCGAAAGCGUGGGGAGCAAACAGG